rnacentral:lncRNA from 1 species
CUCUGUGGCUUGCAAAUUAUCGUCACUGAAGGCUUUGUUGGCCAAGGACCCUGCCUAUUAUAGCAAUCUGGAAUAACAGUGCAGAGGUGAAGAAAGAAGUGAGGGAGUGGAGCUGCUGGAUGGGAAAUCCAACUCCAGUGCUACCAGCUCUGUGGGACUUGAGGCUCUUGGGACCUCAGUUUCCUCCUGUGUAAAAUGAAGGAGUUGUGGGGGGUACCUAAUACCUAAUAUUCCUUCCAGCUCGGAUAUUCUCUUUCUGUCCCUCUGUGUUCUAAGCUCCCUCUCAGCCCUGACACUCCAAGAUCUGUCUAGCAUUAAUCUCUGUUCUAAGGUCCUUUCAGCCUCUGACAUCCUGUGGUUCUGUAGUGGGAAGUUUCCUUCCACAGACCCUUAACUUCCAAAGAGACUCCAGAUCUAAAUGGCUCCUACAAAGCUGUGCAAGUUCAGGAAUGUGAGGAGAGUCCUCCCACUUGGGUCUGGACUGAAUCUGUCUCUUCUCCUCUGGAGCCAUCCUUUGAUUCUGCAUUACAGCCCAGAAGUGAGCCAGGUUGGAGGUUCUCUCAGGCUAGAAUGGCUUUGAGUUUGGACCUCACUUGUCCUAGGACAAAAGGAGCUAAGUAGUAAAAGCUUCCCCACUUGCCCCUAAGUGGCUGGCUGCCAAGUGUAGAUUUUUGCUCUUUUUUGAACCUAGUGUUUCAUGAAGCUGCCUUCUAAGUCAUGGAAAGGCUGUGAUUUGCAUUGGCCAAGGUUAUCCGGUGGUGGAUGGUUCAAUGGAUGGCCCAUUGUGCCCACCAGUGAGUGGGUCCCAUCCUGGGAGCAGCCCUGGCUUGACCUUUUCCAUGAUGGAGAAGGUGACAGGUAAUGUCCCCCCGUGUGGGCACUUUGAGGCCGACGUCUUUGCAAGGAGUUACUGCCAGAAUUGUUCCGAGGUCCAGGAGGCUCACUGUGAGCCCAGCACACAGCAGGAGAUCGGGGGACCUCUGGGGGCCGAGGCGUCUUACUGUGACCUGCAGCAAGCUUCCCCCUACCCCAACGACACCCUCUGCAUCUUGGUCCCCAGCUGUGAGUUGGUGGUGGCCGCUGGUCGUGGGCAAAGGUCUGAGAGUCUUGGGGUUCCAGUGGAGUGGCCCCUAGCAGAGAGCCUCGCAGCCCAGCCUUGGGGCCAAGAGAUCAGGAGCGGAGUGCCCUACCUAGAGAGCCUGACCUGCACACACUUCAGAAGCUGUUCAGAGGACAGCGGAGCCUUUGCCAUCAUCAGACCUGACUGCAACCCAGGCCGCCACUAUCCUGAUGAUACCAGCACCCCGGACUCUGUGGACUUGGAUGCUGUCGACUGGCCUGAUAAGCCCUUGGGCUUCGACGAGCUCCCCAUGAUGUUCUCCAGACAUCAGGAACGGGAACGCCCACAAGCUGACGGUCCCCGAAGGGCUCCAUCCUCAGUUUCUAGGUCAUCAGCCACAGAUCCUAGUCCUGGGAACCAGAGUUCUAGGGAGAGCCGAGCUAAGUCUCGUGGGGAGAGUAGUUACUUUUGCUUGGAAAGGAACAAGUUGGACCCAACCCAGACCUCCCAAAGUCAACAAAGUGGACUUAGAAGUACAACACGGAACCCAGGUCCUACAAAACCCACACACCAUGACACAUACUCGGCCUCGUCUUCCCACCGAUCCAUCCAAAGAGACACCACCAGGGCCUCAUCUCCCCACCGAUCCACCCAAAGGGACACCACCAGGGCCUCAUCUCCCCACCGAUCCACCCAAAGGGACACCACCAGGGCCUCAUCUCCCCACCGAUCCACCCAAAGGGACACCACCAGGGCCUCAUCUCCCCACCGAUCCACCCAAAGGGACACCACCAGGGCCUCAUCUCCCCACCGAUCCACCCAAAGGGACACCACCAGGGCCUCAUCUCCCCACCGAUCCACCCAAAGGGACACCACCAGGGCCUCAUCUCCCCACCGAUCCACCCAAAGGGACACCACCAGGGCCUCAUCUCCCCAUCGAUCUACACAAAGAGACACUAUCCAAUGCUCUGCUACCCAGUGGGACAACCCUAGAACCUGUUCUACCCAACGAGACAACCCUGGGACUUCUUCUCCUGCCAGGCCCACCACAAAGGACAAUCCUCGGGCCUCUUCCACCCAACGGGACAACCCUAGAACCUGUUCUACCCAACGAGACAACCCUGGGACUUCUUCUCCUGCCAGGCCCACCACAAAGGACAAUCCUCGGGCCUCUUCCACCCAGCGGGACCACCCUAGAACCUGUUCUACCCAACGAGACAAUCCUGGGACUUCUGCCAGGCCUACCCCAAAGGACAAUCCUCGAGCCUCUUCCACCCAACGGGACAAUCCUAGAACCUGUUCUACCCAACGAGACAACCCUGGGACUUCUUCUCCUGCCAGGCCCACUGCAAAGGACAAUCCUCGGGCCUCUUCUACCCAAAGGGACAGCCCAGGGCCUUCCUCUCCCACACGAUCCAGCCAACGGAGCAACCCCCGGACCUCUUCUCCCCACCGCACUAACCGUGAUAUUCCUUGGGCUUCUUUCCCCCUCCGCCCGGUCCAAAGUGAUGGACCUCGGGCUUCUUCUCCAACCCGCUCUAAACAAAGUGAGGUCCCCUGGGCCUCUUUUCCUCUCCGGCCAGUCCAAGGUGACAACUCUCGGACCUCUUCUCCCACUCGUUCAUCUCAAAUUUCUUCUAAAACCAGCCAACGUGAUAUCCCAACUCGGGGCUCCAUUUGCCACAGUGGCCCUCGGAGCUCCACCCCACCUCUCUCAUCCACACGUACCUCCCAGGCCUCUUCUCUCUCACGCUCUACCUCUCUUGACUCUCCUCAGCCUUCUUCAGCUGUGUGCAUUGGGCACCGAGAUGCACCCCGCGCAUCGUCACCUCCCCGAUUCUGUCAGCAUGACCCAUUCUCAUUCUUUCCUGACCCCCAUGAUGACGAGAGCCAAUCCCCCCAUCAUGAUCCCCCGUAUAUCCCUCCAGCUGUCUGCAUUGGGCACCGGGAUGCCCCUCGGGCCUCCUCGCCCCCUCGCCACUCCCAAUAUGACCCCUUUCCUUUCCUCCCAAAUACCUCAGACACAGAGAGCCAAUCUCCUCAACAUGACCCUCCCCAGAUGCCACCUCCUGUGUGCAUUGGGCACCGAGAUGCCCCCCGGGCCUCUUCUCCCCCACGCCAGUCACCACAAGAAUCUUCCCUCCUCUACCAAGACGCCCCUGGGGCUAGUUCUGAGAGCUUGGCUCCCUCCACAAGCUCCAUGCAUGAUCCCCCCCACAUACCACCUCCUGUCUGCAUUGGGCACCGGGAUGCCCCUCCCUUCUCUUCUCCCCCACGCCAUGUUCAUCAUGACCCUUCUCUCCUCUACCAGGACCCCCCUGGGGCCAGCUGUGAAAGCCUUGCUCUCUCUAUGGAUUCCCAACAUGAUCCUCCCCAGAUUCCCACUCCUGUCUGUAUCGGGCACCGGGAUGCCCCACUUUUUACUUCCCCACCACGCCAGGCCUACCAUGACCCUUCCCUCCUCAACCAGGACCCUCCAGGUGCCAGCUCUGAGAGCCUUGCUCCCUCCAUGGAUUGCUUCCAUGGACAUGAUGCCCUCCAACCAACCCUCCAUGUGUGCAUUGGGCACCGAGAUGCCCCACGUGCCUCCUCUCCACCUCGCCAUUGGGACCCUCCAGGAGUUGCUAGGUGUUCCAUCCCCCCACCAGGACCUUCUGGUUGCAAGGGGUCUGGUACUGGGGAUGGAAGACAUAACCUGGAACGGGAGGAGUACACAAUGUUGGCUGAUCUCCCCCAACCCAAGAGGCUGAACCAGAAAGAAGCCAUGGGCAAGCAGAGCGGCAAUGCCAGUGACCGCUCCCGCAGCCCUGGACGAUCUGAGGUGGAUCGAAUCUUUGGGAAUGAGCGCAGGAAGUCUGAAGCCCUGGAAACAUACCAGGCCCUGGAAGUUGGGAGAGCACAGAGAGGUGGGCUUGCCUCUGGGCAGCUCCAGCGAAGGCAGUCCAGCCCGGCCCUCUGCAGAGAGGUGACCAAGAAGUCCCCCCAAUCUUCAGAACAAGCCCGGAGGGGCCGAAUGGAGCCUCCUUACACCAAGAGCCCAGAGAGACGCCUUGAGGGAGACCGACGGAACAAGGGGGGCUCCACCCCCCCCAAGAAUCUGGUCAAACUCCCAGAGAGGGAAAGCAGAGCCCGGGGUCAGCUCGUGCAUUCCAAGAGCCUAGACAUUCCCCCUGAGAAUGAUCGACUAGGGCACAGGCAGCCUUCAGGCCUUAGGCACUUAGGAAAGUCCAUGGAGGAGGAAUGGAUGCCUCCAGAGGAGUCUGCCAUCCCCAGGUCUCCCCAGAGACACCUGGAGAGGGACCGGGGCGGCCCAGGCCAGGCCUAUUCAGAGGGGUGCUUGGAGGGGGACUUCCAAAGUCAGGGGGGGUAUUCCUGCAACAAAGCUCUGGAGAUGUAUCCGGAUAGUGAAUGGAGAGGCCCAGCCAAAGAGAUUGUAGGCUGCUGGAGGUCAUUAGCAGAACAAGUAUGUUGCAGGCGGCUGGAAAGGCUUCAACAGAGUGGGCAGCUCGUGGACUGGGAUGAACUGCCCCAGCCCAAGGGGUCUGAAUGGGACUGUAAUGGCCUGGGGGGACUCACCCAGCCCACUGGUCCAGAGAGACCCACCAAGGUGUCCUGGGGAAACCUAGGAGAGCUUGCCCAUCCUCGGAGGCUGGAGAGAGCAGAUGAGAUGGACUGGGGAAGCCUGGGGGAGUUGCCCCUCCCUCGGAGGCCUGAGAGACCCUUGGCCAUGGACUGGCGGGAACUGGGAGGGCUUCCUCAUCCUCGAGGCCCUGAGAGACCUGUGGGAAGUGACUGGGGAAGCCUAGGGGAGCUUCUUCGACCUAGGAGCCCAGAAUUGUGCAGAGAGAUGGUCUGGGGGGCCAAGGGGGAACCCGUGUUUACAGAGGGAUCCUGGCUGGAGAAUGGGGAGGCCCGUCCCCCCAAAGGCCCAGAGGAGGCCCCGGAGAGAGAAUGGCAGAGCACCUCGGAGCCUGCAGGGCUGGUAAUCCAUGACAGGCAGGCAGAAAUGAAUGGGUACAGUCCCGAGGAGCGCCUCCUGAGCCCAAUUCCUUCAGUGGAGGAGAACGGGGCUGACCUGGUGCAGCCCAUUGGCUCAGCCCCGUGGCCAAAGAUCAAAAUGGAGAGCCGUCAGAGGGCCUUGGAGGUGGCUGGUCUGCAGGAGGAAGAGGACAAGAUGGGAAACAACCUACAACUGGGCCCACACCCAUCUAAGGAGCCUGAACCAGAAGGCAGCGCCCUCCCAGAGCCUGGACAUCCAGGAGCAGCCGAAGGCCAAGAGCCAUCUCUGAUGACAGACCAGGAGAACACUGACACGGUAGUUGAGGUCCCGGUUGGGGGAGGGGAGGAAAGAUAUGAGGUGGAGUGA